CUCCUACGGGGGGCAGCAGUGGGGAAUAUUGCACAAUGGGGGCAACCCUGAUGCAGCAACGCCGCGUGAAGGAAGACGGUUUUCGGAUUGUAAACUUCUGUUCUUAGUGAAGAAGAAUGACGGUAGCUAAGGAGCAAGCCACGGCUAACUACGUGCCAGCAGCCGCGGUAAUACGUAGGUGGCAAGCGUUGUCCGGAAUUACUGGGUGUAAAGGGAGCGCAGGCGGGAAGCCAAGUCAGCGGUGAAAACUACGGGAGUAACUUGUAGAAUGCAGUUGAAAAUGGUUUUGUUGAGUGAAUAAGAGG
rnacentral:rRNA from 1 species